rnacentral:rRNA from 1 species
AAUAGAUACCCGGGUAGUCCUGGCAGUAAACGGUGUACAUUUGGUGUGGGAGGAUUCGACCCCUUCCGUGCCGGAGCUAACGCGUUAAAUGUACCGCCUGGGGAGUACGGUCGCAAGAUUAAAACUCAAAGAAAUUGACGGGGACCCGCACAAGCGGUGGAGUAUGUGGCUUAAUUCGAUGCAACGCGAAGAACCUUACCUGGCCUUGACAUGCAUCUCUAAACCGGUGAAAGCCGGCGAGUGUAGCAAUACACAAUUUGCACAGGUGCUGCAUGGCUGUCGUCAGCUUGUGUCGUGAGAUGUUGGGUUAAGUCCCGCGACGAGCGCAACCCCUGUGAACUGUUGCCAUGGAGGCGUGAGUCUCCGGCACUCUGUUCAGACUGCCCUGUUCAACGGGGAGGAAGGUGGGGACGACGUCAAGUCAGCAUGGCCCUUACGGCCAGGGCUGCACACGGUACUACAAUGCCCGGCACAGAAGGAUCCGAGACCGCGAGGUGGAGGAAAUCACUAAAGCCGGGCCCAGUUCGGAUUGGAGGCG